rnacentral:tRNA from 1 species
AGGGUUGUGGCUCAGUGGUAGAGCGCAUGUCUCACACGUAUGAGGCACUGGGUUCAAUCCUCAGCACCACAU